UACGUAGGGUGCGAGCGUUGUCCGGAAUUACUGGGCGUAAAGAGCUCGUAGGUGGUUUGUCGCGUUGUCCGUGAAAACUCACAGCUUAACUGUGGGCGUGCGGGCGAUACGGGCAGACUGGAGUACUGCAGGGGAGACUGGAAUUCCUGGUGUAGCGGUGAAAUGCGCAGAUAUCAGGAGGAACACCGGUGGCGAAGGCGGGUCUCUGGGCCGAUACUGACGCUGAGGAGCGAAAGCGUGGGGGAGCAAACAGG
rnacentral:rRNA from 1 species